CUUGAUCAUUUAGAGGAAGUAAAAGUCGUAACAAGGUUUCCGUAGGUGAACCUGCGGAAGGAUCAUUACAAGUCCCUAUCUGAAACUUAUCGAGCUUGGCUUCGGCUGGGUUCGGAAUUGGCGCGUCGGGCUGGCAAUUGCGUUAGCCUGGCGUGUCAAGGAAUUGACGGAAGGGCUCCCAUGGUGGACCCGCGUAUCAUACAUAUUUGGAAUUGACGGAUGAAUUCUCUACUUGUAGAGUAUUCGCAAAAACCUUGGCCAUACCUGAGAUUUGUGAGCGGAUUAAGUUCCGCCGCGUCUCAUACGUACGGUCCGCAUUUGGUGGGGUGCCUAUCCCGUCUGAUGCCCUGAUGGUGUACUCGUGGCUUCGGCUGCCUUGUCUCGCCAAGGGUGAUGGGAAAGUACUGUAUCUAUCUCAGUGCGAGGCUCAAAGAGGAGUGUGGACCACUGGUCCCGCUUCCGCCCCAUCUUGUUGUUUCUAUAACCAUGUUACACUGUUUAAGUUAGUUGGAUCGGCUUGUCCGGUUUGAUUAGCUGCCCAUAGCAUGCCUCCAGACAUCUUGUAUGACUGGUCCGCAUGUACAGUCGCCUGGCGGUGCCUCAUCCCGGGCUAGACUGCAAAUUUAUAUGUUCUCAUUCGCUCGGUUUACCGAGUGUUUGGGGCAUUAUCGUACAACUCUGAGCGGUGGAUCACUCGGCUCGUGUGUCGAUGAAGAGUGCAGCCAACUGUGUGAAUUAAUGUGAACUGCGUACUGCUUUGAACAUCGACAUCUUGAACGCAUAUUGCGGCCGCGGGAUAUCCCGUGGCCACGUCUGGCCGAGGGUCGGCUUAUCAUUUAUCACGACGCUCAAAAAGUCGUGGAUUGGAAGUUGUGCCAGCUGGCGUGAUUUCCCCAUUUUAUGGGGUGCUGUGCAAUGGCUCCUUCCUAAUGUGUCCGGUUACAUCUGGCCUGGGAGUGGGUUCCCGAGGUGAGAUGUGGCGUUGGAUGUUGUACGAGUCGUGGCUCAAUGAUUUGAUCGCGCUCGUGCAUUGUUCAUGUCACGUUUUGCUUUGGUUAUCUAUUUUCUGGCAUGUGGCAAUGUAACUGAUGCGGCAUGCGUAUGCAGCCAAACCCAUUAUAUGACCCUGACCUCGGAUCAGACGCGAAUACCCGCUGAACUUAAGC
rnacentral:rRNA from 1 species